UACGUAGGGUGCAAGCGUUGUCCGGAAUUAUUGGGCGUAAAGAGCUCGUAGGCGGUUUGUUGCGUCGGCUGUGAAAUCCCGAGGCUCAACCUCGGGUCUGCAGUCGAUACGAGCAAACUAGAGUGUUGCAGGGGAGACUGGAAUUCCUGGUGUAGCGGUGAAAUGCGCAGAUAUCAGGAGGAACACCGGUGGCGAAGGCGGGUCUCUGGGCAGUAACUGACGCUGAGGAGCGAAAGCGUGGGGAGCAAACAGG
rnacentral:rRNA from 1 species